rnacentral:rRNA from 1 species
GACGAACGCUGGCGGCGUGCCUAAUACAUGCAAGUAGAACGCUGAAGGAGGAGCUUGCUCUUCUGGAUGAGUUGCGAACGGGUGAGUAACGCGUAGGUAACCUGCCUGGUAGCGGGGGAUAACUAUUGGAAACGAUAGCUAAUACCGCAUAAGAGUAGAUGUUGCAUGACAUUUGCUUAAAAGGUGCAAUUGCAUCACUACCAGAUGGACCUGCGUUGUAUUAGCUAGUUGGUGGGGUAACGGCUCACCAAGGCGACGAUACAUAGCCGACCUGAGAGGGGGAUCGGCCACACUGGGACUGAGACACGGCCCAGACUCCUACGGGAGGCAGCAGUAGGGAAUCUUCGGCAAUGGACGGAAGUCUGACCGAGCAACGCCGCGUGAGUGAAGAAGGUUUUCGGAUCGUAAAGCUCUGUUGUAAGAGAAGAACGAGUGUGAGAGUGGAAAGUUCACACUGUGACGGUAUCUUACCAGAAAGGGACGGCUAACUACGUG